GAACAGAGCUGAGAAGCUCCAGCCUGGAAUAUUUUUCAGGCUGUAAUUUUCUCGCUUUCUCAAUGUGUCCCACAAUCUACCAAAUACCCUUUUA